rnacentral:rRNA from 1 species
CUACGGGCGGCUGCAGUGGGGAAUAUUGCACAAUGGAGGAAACUCUGAUGCAGCAACGCCGCGUGGAGGAUGACACUUUUCGGAGCGUAAACUCCUUUUAUAUAGGAAGAAGAUGACGGUACUAUAUGAAUAAGCGCCGGCUAACUCCGUGCCAGCAGCCGCGGUAAUACGGAGGGCGCAAGCGUUAAUCGGAAUCACUGGGCGUAAAGAGAGUGUAGGCGGAUUAAAAAGUCAGAAGUGAAAUCCUAUAGCUUAACUAUAGAACUGCUUCUGAAACUCUUAAUCUAGAAUAUGGGAGAGGUAGGUGGAAUUUCUGGUGUAGGGGUAAAAUCCGUAGAGAUCAGAAGGAAUACCGAUUGCGAAGGCGAUCUACUAGAACAUUAUUGACGCUGAGACGCGAAAGCGUGGGGAGCAAACAGGAUUAGAUACCCCAGUAGUC